GGAAUAUUGGGCAAUGGGCGAAAGCCUGACCCAGCAACGCCGCGUGAAGGAAGAAGGUUUUCGGAUUGUAAACUUCUUUUAUCAGGGACGAAGAAAGUGACGGUACCUGAUGAAUAAGCCACGGCUAACUACGUG
rnacentral:rRNA from 1 species